rnacentral:rRNA from 1 species
UCGCCUGUUUAUCAAAAACAUAGUUUGGUGAAAAUUAUACUAAAUGAAUUCUGCCCAGUGUUUUAAUAAAUGGCCGCAGUACCCUGACUGUGCUAAGGUAGCAUAAUCAAUUGGCUUUUAAUUGAAGUCUGGAAUGAAUGAAAUAAUGGAGGAAUGCUGUCUUAAAAGUAUUAAUUUAAAUUUAUUUAAAAGGUGAAAAUACCUUUUUUUAAAAAAAAGACGAGAAGACCCUAAGAAUUUUUAGAUUAAAAUUUUGAAAUUUAAUCUUUUUGUUGGGGCGACAGAUUAGAAAACUAAACCUAAUUUUUUAAAUUGGCGAAUUUUUUAAGUAAUAAAAAAUUACCUUAGGGAUAACAGCAUAAUAUAAAAUUUUUUAUGUUUGUGACCUCGAUGUUGGACUAGGAACUUUAUGGCUAGCAGUCAGAAAAGAUUUAUUCUGUUCGAAUAAUUUAAUCCUACGUGAUCUGAGUUCAGACCGGA